AUCAUCAUCAUUAUCAAGAAGGCAAUGAGCGGGCAGAUUUGUUAGCAUGUUAGGCAAAAUGCUUAGUGGCAUUUCAUCUGUCUUCGUGUUCUGAGUUCAAAUUCCACCAAGGUCAACUUUGCCUUUCAUCCUUUCAGAUGGAAGAGCA